CCUAACUCUGCCAUUUUCCAGCUGUGUGGCUUUGGGCAAGUUAUUUAACCUCUCUAUGCCUCAACUUCUUCAUGUAAAAUGGCAGUAAUAAUAAUACGAAUGCCACAGAGCUGUGGAUGAAAUGAGCCCAUUCCAGUCUGGCUUCUUUAACCAGGAAGAUGUGAGCUGAGAGCUGUGGAGUAGAUGUCUUCACCAGAUGAGUACACAGAGAGUCUUGUGAAUAAGGUAUUCAGGAAGCACAGCUGUCUUGUGUUCCUGAAGCCAUAUCAGGAUUCAGCAGGAAAGAGCACCAAGAUCACUUGGCAAUGUUUAUCCUGAUCAAGCACGGGCACUGAUGGCAGAAUAGGUGAGAACCAGAGAAAAAUAUUGUUAAACCCAGGAGCCCAAGCUAUAUGAUCAACUGGAAAGACUCAGUAGGUAAAUUGACAGCCUAUCUUCACAGAUGCAGGACAAAGGACAGAACUCUAAGUCAUCCCUGUGCUCACCUGAGACAAAUGCAUGUCUGAUUGCUUCCACUGAUGUAAAAAUGCAGAUUUGCUGAGUUAGACGAAGACGAUGGCAGAGAGCAGUCUUCAUCCUGAGCCCCAUUCCUAGGUAAGUAGCUGAAUUGGGGUUUUGUUUUGGAAAUUCUCCUUAAUGGCUAAAGUUAAGAUUAACAACCAGCUGGUCUUAAUUUCUUCUUACCAUUAGAGCACUCAG